rnacentral:rRNA from 1 species
CGGCGGACGGGUGAGUAAUGCCUAGGAAUCUGCCUGGUAGUGGGGACAACGUUUCGAAAGGAACGCUAAUACCGCAUACGUCCUACGGGAUAAAGCAGGGACCUUCGGGCCUUGCGCUAUCAGAUGAGCCUAGGUCGGAUUAGCUAGUUGGUGAGGUAAUGGCUCACCAAGGCGACGAUCCGUAACUGGUCUGAGAGGAUGAUCAGUCACACUGGAACUGAGACACGGUCCAG